CUUUUCCUCUUGUGCCCUCUCCUCUUGUAUGUGUUGCUCCUCUUUUCCUUCGGAUAAUAUCGGUAUUGAUUUCAUAGCAACCUUAAUUGAAGAGUAUAAACUAUUAAAGCACCAAUUCAAAGUUGACAAGAAAAUUUCAAACAUUAAGAAAAGCACAUUUUCCAAAAGAAAAUCAUCACCAAAUGGCAUAAAUAACUCCAAUAAUAUACAUUAUAUCCUCAAAACAUCAUAAUUAAGACAUGAGCUCCAAAAUUAUUCUAGAAUUUGCAUUUACCAUGAGACCUCAAAUUAGCAAUUCACAAUUAGCUUCAUAUAUUGAAAAAUAAGCACUUAUACAUCAUAAAAAAAUGCUAUAUAAGGCCAACAAUAACCAUAAUGAAGCUAAACAAAUUCCUCAUUAAAAUUGCCUAUUUAGCAAAGAAUUCAAGAAAUGGUAUUUUGCCUAAUUCCUCACUUUGCACCAAUGUUAACCACAAUAGGAAAAUUAACAUGCUUAUGGAAGUUAAAUGAGCUCAACUAAGCAUCAAAACAACAACAAAUUUCACCAAAAAUUCACCAAGAAAUUCGUCCAAAAAUUCAAGAAAAUUUGACUAUGGUGAAAUUUUGAUUGAGCCAAAUAAAGUCAAGAGACUUACAUGGGACAUGUAGAGUGAUGAUAUGUAAGCCAAAUGAUGCAUGAAGCCCCAAAAGCUUAACUCAAAUGAACUCCAAAUUGAAGGAAGCGACAUUCUAGAACCCUAAGAUGCUUGACUCAAAUCCUCCAAAGUUGGUGUU
rnacentral:lncRNA from 1 species